rnacentral:rRNA from 1 species
AAAUUUUAGAGAGUUUGAUCCUGGCUCAGGACGAACGCUGGCGGCGUGCCUAACACAUGCAAGUCGAACGGAACUUCUUUAAAGGAUUUCUUCGGAAUGAAUUUGAUUAAGUUUAGUGGCGGACGGGUGAGUAACGCGUGAGUAACCUGCCUCUGAGAGGGGAAUAACAUUCUGAAAAGAAUGCUAAUACCGCAUAAUAUAUAUUUAUCGCAUGGUAGAUAUAUCAAAGAUUUAUCGCUUAGAGAUGGACUCGCGUCCGAUUAGUUAGUUGGUGAGGUAACGGCUCACCAAGACCGCGAUCGGUAGCCGGACUGAGAGGUUGAACGGCCACAUUGGGACUGAGACACGGCCCAGACUCCUACGGGAGGCAGCAGUGGGGGAUAUUGCGCAAUGGGGGAAACCCUGACGCAGCAACGCCGCGUGAAGGAUGAAGGUCUUCGGAUUGUAAACUUCUUUUAUUAAGGACGAAGAAAGUGACGGUACUUAAUGAAUAAGCUCCGGCUAACUACGUGCCAGCAGCCGCGGUAAUACGUAGGGAGCAAGCGUUGUCCGGAUUUACU